rnacentral:rRNA from 1 species
AGAGAGAGCCAUGCGCGCAUAUCAAUAAGCGGAGGAAAAGAAACUAACAAGGAUUCCCCUAGUAACGGCGAGUGAAGCGGGAAGAGCUCAAAUUUGAAAUCUUAAAGGGUUUCCCUUUACGAAUUGUAGUUUAAAGAAGUGUUUUCUGUUGAGGUUUUGGUAAAAGUUCUUUGGAAUAGGACAUCAUAGAGGGUGAGAAUCCCGUAUUUGACCUUUACUUUCAACUUUGUGAUACACUUUCAAAGAGUCGGAUUGUUUGGGAAUGCAGUCCAAAAUGGGUGGUAAAUUUCAUCUAAAGCUAAAUAUUGGCGAGAGACCGAUAGCGAACAAGUACCGUGAGGGAAAGAUGAAAAGAACUUUGAAAAGAGAGUUAAACAGUACGUGAAAUUGUCAAAAGGGAAGCGUUUGACACCAGUGUUGUUUUUCUGAAAAUCAAUUAAAGAACUGUUUAUGCUAAGUUGUUUAGACUUUAUCAGCUAACUGUUUAGUUUUGAGCUUUUCUUUAAUGCACUUUUCAGUUAACAAGUCAACAUCAAUUUCUUUUGCUGUAAAAAAGCUUGAGGAAGGUGGCUUGAGAUUCGUCUUAAGUGUUUAUAGCCUCUUGCCUAUGCAGUCGGAGAGAUUGAGGUCUGCAGCGUAGAUCCUUCGGGGCUAAAUGCAUUUGUGCUAAGUUAUAGCAUUUUAUAGACAACUUGUUGACUAUGAUUUGUCUUGUAGCUUACUCGCUUAUGUUAUUUUACCUACGCUUAGGAUGUUGAGCGCAUGUCUCUCUCU